UGGUGUCGCUUGUGAUUGGUUGACUUUCUUUUUACUUGCGCCUGGUGGAACCAUGCUUUGUUGGCUCAUGUCUCUAUAUACUAACUGAAUAGUGUAUUAGAUAGGCCAGUUAUGGAAAAUUUAUAGUUGUAUAAUUGGAAAGGAAGUAAAAAAAAUAUUGCCGAAAAUCCAGUUCUUAGUUAACAAAUUAAACGAAAGUAAAUGUAGAAAGUAUUUCCAUUGCCGGAUCUAGAGAAUCUAGAAUGCUGGCAACAGAGCAUGAAUCUGGGGUCAGCUUUCUUUCCUUCGAAGUAUUCAAUGUUAUGUUCGGAUCAUUUUGAAAAAUGUUUCGAAAAAGAAACUAAUAUUGAUUGCCUACGCCCGGGAAGUGUUCUUACGUUAUUUGGAUAUUAUAAAUCGCUUGUGCAUUUUGUAAGGCCGUGAAAGGAUAGGAUAAGGAAAGAUCGUUUCGCAAAUUCCUGUUACAUAAUGCAGAAUUGCUUAAAAAAUGGGUUGCGCCAAUGGGGUUAGAAAAAUGGAUACAGAGUAUCAGGAGUUUACCUUGUAGUGAUCACUUCGAAGAGAAGUGUUUUCGCAAAACAGGUCGCACUUCAUCUAAUUUAACUCUUAGAGAUAAUGCUAUUCUCGCCAUAUUCAUGCCUGCGACAACUAAAGAAACGUCUGCAGAAAACCGGAACACAUCUGAUGACACGGGACCGACAAAACAAAACAAUCAUAAUGGAAAGCGCGAUUUGUCAGGAAAUUUACCUGCUGCAAAAAUAAGUAAAAGUUGCUCUUUUUACAGUUCAGUGCAUUUAAUGACGGAAACACUUCAUGGCGCAGGUAAAACCAAAAAUUUAAUACUUUUUUUUACUUAAUACUUUUUCAUGAAUGUAUUAAUUUUAAUAAUAGUAAUAUGUAUACUAGCCCUUACGAAAAAGUAUGAUAGGUAAAUCAUUAUAGGCCUAUGAUGAUUUUUUAAAAAUGAAUUUCCUAUAAUUUUUUUUCUAUUAUAGGAAUAAUUACAGAAAAAAUCGUAGGAAA